rnacentral:rRNA from 1 species
UACGAAGGGGGCUAGCGUUGCUCGGAAUCACUGGGCGUAAAGGGUGCGUAGGCGGGUUUUUAAGUCAGAGGUGAAAUCCUGGAGCUCAACUCCAGAACUGCCUUUGAUACUGAGAAUCUUGAGUUCGGGAGAGGUGAGUGGAACUGCGAGUGUAGAGGUGAAAUUCGUAGAUAUUCGCAAGAACACCGGUGGCGAAGGCGGGGUCACUGGGCAGUAAC